UGGUGGGGUGUGGAUUAAAAAUUGAUAGUGGGGGUAGGGCAGGGUGCUGGUACCCCCCUGGAUCUGCCCCGUGUCCAUGUGAAGUCCUGGGGCAGGGGAGGAGUCCCUUUAGCUGGCUGGCUGGCUGUAGCAGCAAAGGUGCCACCAUCUUAAAGGGCUUCGCAGUGGAGAGCGUGUGUGGAGCAGGGUAAACCUAAAAUGUCCGCUGGCACACUGAGCCAGGCUUGGCGAUGCCGGGAGUCAGGGGCGCGCGCCAAAAAAAGGGGGGGAAAAAAUGCAAACGGCGAUUGUUAAAUUAGCUGUGCCACUAACCGUGCAUGGUAACCGUCUCAUUUGCAUGCAUUAAUUCAGUCAGUACUCCACCCACCUUCUGAUUACUGUCACCUAUGCGAUUGGCUGAAGCCUCGCUUCGCUGUGCUUAUCCCAGCCAACACGUGCGCCUUAUCUAAGCACAAUUAUGAUUCUGCUUUGCCCAUCCAUACGGCUUGGAUUCACAUAUAGUUAGCAUCAAAAAUGAGCGGCACAAAUUCCUGAAUUGCCAUUCGCCGGCACGGCAUUAGGAUAUACUGCCGGCCACUGCACUUAGCCUUCGCGCAUAUUGUUCAUUUUCUGGCCACUAACCACGCUCUCUAAUCAGCGGCAGACAAUUACCGUCAAAAUCUGAUGUCACUUCAAACCAGAUCGAGGUGCUUGGAGGGCAGGCUGUCAUUGCGAAUGACUAUCAGAAUGGCAGGUAUAAACACGGCUUUCAAAUGAAAUGGGCAAAAAGUGGGCUCCUUUUCCAUUUCAUCUAUUUUUGUGUGUGUGAUUUUUUUGUUUGUUUGUUUGUUUGUUUGUUUAUUACCACUGUAGCAAAGCUUUGUUGAAGCAGCCACGUCCAGGCGGCACAUUUUUAUCUGUCACUCUAAUAGCGUACAGUGAAUAUGCAUACACGAUGUACUGUAUGCGUGCUCCUCAAGCUUCUCUUCCAUUCCCCACUGCUCCCCCUCCCCCCCCCCACGGCACCUUGCCCACAUUAAUAUGGCUCCUACAGUCACGACUCCUGUUGGCAGCCUGGCCUGGCCUGGUGGCGUUAAAAGCAGGAAGAGGGUCUCGCUACCCCCGGGGCACCUCCACUCCAUUGUCUUAAUUAUUUCAAAGGUGGCCUGCUUAGGAGGACACACACACACACACACACACGCUGUAUGACACCCCGAUUUGCAUUCCCUUUCAUCCCUGUGGAUCCUCGCCGCAGAGCCGAGCCGAGGCGAGGAAGAGAAGAGAGGAGUGGAGAAAGGGGGGAAAUGGUUUCAGACGAGCGCCUGCUUUGUACAAACACAUAUACACACAUACAGUAUACGCCUACACAUUUAUAUGGAGAAAUAUACUACGGAGGAGUACACUUAGAGGAUGAGAGAUACAAACAUAGAGAGACACACACACACACACAUACACCUAAUCCUCCCCACAUCACCACAAUGUGCACACAUAAGAAGAGAGAUAUGUACAUUAAGAAGUUCAUACACAGAGCAUUUAAAUGGUUAUACACAUGCAACCAACAUAGUCUGAUACACCUUAACAUACAUUUCUAUACCAGGUAAAGACCUCACAGAUGAAGACAUACAAUCGCAACAUACUUUAUUACAACAGACGCUAUUUUCCCAAAAAUGCAUGUCUGCUUAAGUCCUGUGUACAUUUAGCAAAAGAACACUCUCUUUCUCCCGUUGGAACGGGGACUAAUUUCAAACAAUGUUCGAUGGCCCAGGCAGGUUGGAGCACAGGCCCCUCUGCUCUGAAGUAGCCCUCUGUCUGUCUGCGGUGGUGUUUACUUUGAGCCGGAGAUGGUGAGGCCCAUGUUGGGUCCAGGGCAGGCAGGGCAUCACAGGGGGAAGAGCCAGUGGGGUAUGGCCAUUGAGGACUGAGGCUACAUGGACCCCCACAGAUAGGGUUGGCUGGGGCAACUGCAUCUGGAUGCUGUGUUAUUCAUGGGUGACAUCACGGUUACUCAGUAGCACAAUAGUGGCGAGGUGUGUUGCGGGCUUGUGAAUGCUGAAGGCAUGCUUACUAAAUUCAAACAGACACGCAGACACAUUCAGGUGGAUUCUGUUAUAUUUAGCUUAUUUUAUUCAUCGUAAAAAAAAAAAAAAAAAACGUGAUUAGGAAGGCAGCAGUUCUGAUAAAACAAGGGAGGAAUGCUAGCUGGGUAGACAACACACACAUUCAGUAUUUGAAAUAACAAGAACAGGCCCACAGAGAAAGGCACAUUAAGCAUUAUGGAAACAUCUUUCUCCAGGUGUACAGACUUCAUAUGAUAGUGUGCUGUACCUUGUUACUUUUAUGCCGAAAUAGAGUCUGUCAGCAUUUAUGGUGGCAGUUACAGAGAUUAAGAUUUUUUUUUUUCUUGGUAUAGUUGAUCAGUGUUCACAGACGUCAUCUUGCAUGAGCACCAUCUUGCCCCCUCACACACACACACACACACACACCAUCAGUAACAACAUUUCACACCCUUGCCUUCAUUUUUAUACCUCCCACACAGAAGUCAAUUUUUUUACAUUAUGCAGGCUCUGCUUUUUUUUUUUUGUUCAUCUGCAAGAGGAGUUGGCAUUUCCUGGCCAAGUAAUCGUUUUUUAAUUACAAAGUGUCACAGUUCAGCACAUUGGUAAAUGCCUUUUUUCUGAAUUAGCACACCAAUGUGCUAAUCUGAAUGUUAACCUGUUUAUGCAAUUUUGUCAUAAGCUUUAUCAUGUCUUUCUUGACACGUAUGAGCCUUCACAAUCUGUUCAAUUAGCAAAGCGUUUGUGUGUGUGUGUGUGUGUGUGUGUGUGUGUGUGUGUGUGUGUAGAGGAUGGGGUGGCUUCAAAGCCUCCUUUUUAGGGGGAAAAUGGAACAGGGUUAGCCUGAGCCCACGCUUCAGGCUAUGUUCACACACAUGGUAGACGAGAACUGGGAUUAUCUCUGACAGCGCCAGGGAUGCUUUCCGUCGCUCUCUCUUCUCAGAUCCUUUGCCAUUAGUCUUCUCCCUUCUCCGGAGCCUUCAUGCAACAUGGCUAAGAAGACAGAAAUAUCUCAUAGAUCUAGAGUCAAGAGCAGAAAUGUCAUGUUUCUUUUUCCGUAACAAAUUCCACAAGAAAAAGCAGAAGGUAUCCAGAAGGUACACUGUCCCCCCAUGUGGUGUCUAUUAUUGUGUUCUUUGUGACAUCAUCCACCAUCAAGUCUUGAUUUGGCUUGGCUACAUGCCCUUGCCUCGCUGGGCUCUGGUCUGUAAUUAAAACAUUUAAACAUUUCAUUUGUAUACUUGAUUGACAUUUUGUCCUUUUGUCAGUUUUUUUUAUUCUUUAUUUUGCCUACAUUUUGUCUUUGGUAUACUUCAAUGGCCUCAUUCACACACUUACUUCAUAGCAUCAUUGCAUUAAAACAUAUUGGAGUGUGGCUUUAUUUUACGUGUGGAGGUGUAAUGGUACACUUCUAUUGUGCUGUUAUGUCCCACAGGGCCACCACAUAAGAUGCAUACUGCCUCAAAACCACGUCAGUACAUUCCUAUCCGCCACUCCUGAAGUCCACCUCCUUGGCUCUAAUUAUCAAACCACCCCAUUCCGAGACCCCAGCAAUCCCAUAUUGCAGUCUCUCACAGUGGCAGAUUAGUGAGAAAAGCGAAUGAGACAGUUUAUUUUCUGUCAGACUUUGGACACUUUCGAGUAACACUCGAAGCUCUUGCCAAAGCCCUCCGCCGAGCCUCAAGAGGUUCAGCCUGGUGAGAGGUCUCGAGCCGACUCCUGUCGAGAGCAGGGCAGGGGGGACCCGCCGAGAACAGAAGCCCUGGCUGGGCGUGUCAGAGAGGGGCUGCUGGUAGAGGCAUUAGCCAGGGCGAUCUGUAAAUAACAGGGGGGGGGGGGGGGGGGGGCGCUAGUGCCUCCACCACCACCACCACCGGCGUCGUGGCCUUAAUGAGAACUGACAGGCAUCAGUCUCGCCCCUGACAUCUGUCAGGAAGCGCUCGUCAGGCACGGGACGUGUGAUAGGUGGGAGCGAGUAAAGAUAACACCCCGUGAUGAGGCUUACAGCCACUCUGGCUACCCUGUGCAGAAUCAAUUUCCAUCUCCAUCUCGCUAGAUAGAUAGCUAGCAUGCUAACUUGCUGGCCAUGCUCAUCUAGCAAAGCAUUCAUCAAGCAGUAGCUCUUUGUGUCAACCAGUUGACUGAAAUUGUACCAGACAAUAGAUCGUUGCUAGUGUUAAAAGGUUAGCCUCUUCUGUUUUUUCUAUGUUGUGUCCCAAGUUGUGCUGAGGUUGUGUUGCCUUGUGUAAUACCUCAAAGCAGAGGCAUAGUGUCUGUCCUAUAUCUCACCUUAGUUCCAAAAGAGGCAUACAAAUUCAGCAGAGGACCUCCAUACCAAACCGUCACAUGAAACAGUUCUUUGGUGUAGCGCACUCAAGCUGAGUGACUGAAGGAGACAGAAAGAGUAACUGAGAGUGUGCAUUUGUAGUCACGGAUGUCUAUGUGCUUGUAUAUGCUUCUGUGUGUGAGUGUGUGUGUGUGUGUGUGUGUGUGUGUGUGCCUGCUACUGGAGCCCUGAAAGAUUUUCUUUUCUUUUCUUGGCACAUGUGCACAGCUGUGCAGCUCUAGGGAAUGUUGGCCAAGAUGAUAUACACCCGAAAGUCAGUACAUGUAGACCAAGUAGAUUCUUCUGGGUGUGUGAAAAUCAGUUGGUUACUUUGUUGUGUGCUGCAUGACUUCAGGUAUAUGUUGCUAGCCAUGUUGGAAUGUUAUGUGAGACAAUUGUAUCCAAGUACACCAAAACGUUAAAAAGAAAUGACCUUGAGAAUAUUUAUAAGUGUGUGGUGAAAAGAAACAUCAAAUUUAUACCCUAUGCUUUUUUCAUGUGUGUUGCAGAUACAGGGAAACUAUGGAGAGAAUUCAAAGACCUCCUUGAAAUCCAGCCUUUAUAGAGAAAACCUACACAAGGGGCGAGAUGAGAGGCAGCUCUUCUGAAGAGGUGAAGAUGGACAGCAAUCAGCGGAGGUCAAAGAUGUCUGUACCAUACCUCUUCGACAUUGGGUGGAACUAUGGGAAAACUCUGGACAUAGCAGUCUUCUUCCACAGCGCAAUAAAAGGAAAAUCCUGUUAUGGACAAGCUAAAGCUAAAAAUGACAGUUUAAUGAAGACUUGACUGUUUUUGUCAUGGCAACUGAUGCUUAAUAAGAGUACUGCCGGUUCCCCAAGACAAUUUCCUGCAAAUGUGAAAGGAAUGUUGGGAAAUGCUGAGAAUAUCUUCACCUUGCCACAAGUUGCCUCAGGGACCAGUACCACAGUGGCUGCACAGUUUUGUUUUAUGGAUCCCACAUAUCUUUGACAAUGUGGAAACAGGAUUAUAAAAAUACUACGCAAUCUAAAGCACUAUGAAACUACAACAUUCAUCAUCGAAUGUGUGCACUUUGAAAGUUACAUUUCCAUUCUGUGUUCUGUAUUGGAAAUUGUUGCUGUGUUUUUAUUUUACUUUGAAGAUUUGUCUUUAUUUUUCUAAUAAAUGAUAUGUUGUAUAAAACAGAAGAGAUCCUGCCUUUGUCUUGCUUUGAUUACCUCCGAGUGGAUUGUUGAAUAUUUAAUGCUGAGGUAUUAAAAUGAUCAGUCUAAGAAUCAUGGGGAUGAGAUGGCUCCUCUGGUGCUGUUUCAGAAGACUGAUGUGCUGUGAGCUGUCACCCGCUUGUCCAAAUGGAACAAAUGAUGUUCUGGGG
ensembl:lncRNA